GUUGCGCCCGGUGCGGCCGGCCCCCCCUGCACCCCCCACGCUACGCCACUGCUCGCACGCAGUCCAUGCAAGCAAUAAUUUUCACAUGCCUCCCUUUGUACACACAUUCUUGAGUUCUUGUAGGGGAACUCCAAGUUGCACAUGCCCCAGGCCCCAUAAACCCUCUGGGAGCCCCUGGUUCUGCUGGUGAGCUUCCGAAGAGACAUCUGCUUGGCCACUGUGAGAAUGGAGUGCUGGUCUAAUGGGCCCUUGGCUUGGUACAGCUGGGUUCUCCUUGGCCUCUGCCAUUGUUGGACCAUGCAAUUGGCCAGGCUAUUAGGAGCCUUUUGCUGAUCAAAAGAACAAUUCAGGUUUUAGCAGCAGACUUCAGACACAGAGCUGGAGAACAACACCCUGUUGUUUUGGAACUGAUUGUGCAUCGCCCAUGGCUUUGGUCUGGAUCAAACAAUAUGGCAUGCAUUAGGCCAGCCUUUGCCAACCCAGUGCCCUCCAGAUGUUCUGGAUCCCAACUGGGUCUGCGUGCUGUCUGGGGCUAAUGGGAGUUGUAAUCCAAAACAUCUGGAUGACACCAGGUUGGCAAAGGAUUAAAUAGGCUUUUCUGUCUUUCCUCUCUUGAAAUCUUUCUUUUUUUAAUAGAGCAACAUUCAUGGGCAAGGCGCUUAAACGUGCAAGUUGAAAGAUCUUUGCCCCAAAGACCUUGCAAUCUAACCUUCUGCACAGGGGAUAUGUGUGUUCCUCCUCAGUGAAUUAAUUCCAGCUAUCGCAACAUCACUGCCUGGGGAGAAGCUGAUUUGAGCGAGUCGUGGAUUGCUUUGGUUCACCCGGUCUGCAAAAGGAGUUUCAAGUCCUAUUAGGCCUCUUGGUGACACUGUCGGUAGGCUGCAGGCUUGGAGAGGACAGGGCAUUCAUUGCCAUGGCGCCCCGUGACCUUGUGCAUGCACUGUACCACGCGGGACUGAAGGCCUUUCCCACAAGUUGAGGAGCACUGGAGAAGAGAAGGUGACCUUGGUGAAUUGUAUAUAACAGUCAGAAAGCCCAUGAAGACAGCGGAGAGGCUCUUGGGAUGACAUCAGAUGAUGCCCAAAUUGGCUUUGAAAAUCCCUGGCAAGUAAUGCAGUUAGCUGAUGCUCAAACCGCAAUAUUUUUGGACAGCUUCCCUUUAAAGAAGGUUGUGCAAUUGAGCUCUGCUGGCUAACCCUGUCCCUCAGGAGUCUUCCAGUCUCCGUUCAUGGCAGGGCCCACACCACAGGAAGAAGAGGAGGAGGAAACAACCCUUUGAGACAAGGGGAGAAGCUAUUGUGGCAGUUCAGAGACAACAAAGAGGCUCCAGUCCAGUCUGUGAGGUGGAGUGGAGUGGAAGACCACUGGAAAUCAGGAAUGGGGCCUUUGGUCAGAACUGGUGCAUCCUGCACUUUUUUUUUAACGUGUUCCAGUCAUCUGCACACUAUGAAAACAAAUUUGCAGUGUCUUUUACACAAGCACACAUACAUCAAUGUGAGUGACUUCAACAUCUUUUAUUGUGAAAUGUGAAAAAAGUUCUCUCCCUGCCAAGUUGUUUCUAAUCUAAUAAACAUAAUAUGUUAUAUUUUCCCAUGCAAAUGGGGAAAGUGA